AAGGGUUCAAAAAUGGCUUGGUUUGGAGAAUGGAUGGUUCGAUUUAACAAAGAAAAUAAAGUUUAAGUAGAUAGAUAAAAUGGAAUGGAAAUUGAACUCAAGCGAAGAACGAUUCAAUACUAUGUAAAGUAUUGCCCCGAGUCUUAUAUUGCUUAAGGUGAAUUUUGAUGAAGGAUAGAAGCGGACCUUGACCCGUUACCUAUAUGGAGGUAAGAACCAAAGGUAUAGGAAGAUGGUUGAACGCCACACCGAUUCGGUGAUAAGUUCAAUGGAGUUCGGAUUGACACCACUAGCAAGCUAGAUAAGUCGCUUCGAGACUCGAACGAAAGAAGAGAGGAGGUAACCUCAC
rnacentral:lncRNA from 1 species